GAUUCAUGAUGACACAGGACCUUGUUUGAAAAUAAUGAUAUUAAACUUUGAGCUUAAACCACACUCUGAAAUC
rnacentral:snoRNA from 15 species